CAAAAGCUUGCUGAUUUUGAGUCACUGAAUAAUCAGCACAUCAUGAUUUCAAAGCAACUGUCAGCUCAAGAGAUCAACGGCACAAUAAUGAAGAAAGAGUUCUUCAUUCUUAUAGCCAGAUACAACACACUUAGAAAAUGGUUGUCGUUUUACGAUGAUCAGUCUUGUAAUCACUCUGUGGAUGGCUGGAUAGCUUGUCGUGGAAAGCUGUAUUUAUUCAGCUCGGAUAAACUGAACUGGUCAAGCAGUCGAGAUGUCUGUGUUUCAAAAGGAGCUGAUCUGGUCACCAUAAC